rnacentral:rRNA from 13 species
UGGUAGAUGCCUUGGCACUAGAAGGCGAUGAAGGACGUAAUACGCUGCGAUAAGCUUCGGGGAGUUGCGAAUAAAUUUUGAUCCGAAGAUUUCCGAAUGGGGAAACCCACCUAAUUUAUUAGGUAUUGUAUAGUGAAUACAUAGCUAUAUGAGGCAAACCCAGCGAACUGAAAUAUCUAAGUAGCUGGAGGAAAGGACAUCAACCGAGA